AUCCCUAAUAGCAAAAGUAAAACCAAAAGUAAAACCAAGUGUCGUUAGCUCAAUUGGUAAAGAUCCUAGGCGAAGUUUAAAGGUUGUCGGUUCGACUGACGCUUGGGACGAAACUAAUAUUACAUGCUGUGGUUUCGGUUCUGGAGGAUUACGGGCUUCAGUCCAGAACUUCAUGAUAUUCAAAAAAAAAAAAAAAAAGUAAAAACAAAAAUAAAAUAAAAUUUCACAGUAACUAAUAAGCUUCUUCUCUCUGAUCAAUGAAAUAGAAUGCGUAAAGACA
rnacentral:sRNA from 1 species